GACAGGUCGGUUGUUUAUGUUUGACAGGUUUCUGGUCGUCACGACUCUUUGUUGACAUUUUUAUCUCUUGUCAAUGGAUGCUCAUAAAAAGGAGUUUACGUGUGUCCUAGUCGGUUAAUGUUAAACGCAUCUCCAGCUUCACCCAGUCAGUCCAUGGACGCCGAUCAGCAUGAGUCAAUCGAUCUCAGGUCUCCUCCAGUGGACCCAUCAGCAGCUACAGGAGAAAGCUGGUUCCCUGGACCCCCUCCACCCAUGUACUCCUGCACCCUGACCCCUGAGCUGGUGCACAAGGCACGGGAAGAGCUCCAGGAGAAGCCAGAGUGGCGUCUACGGGAUGUCCAAGCACUGAGAGACAUGAUACUGAAGGAACAGCCCAAUCUCAGGACCCGGCUGGACGACGCUUUUCUCCUGCGCUUCCUGCGGGCCAGGAAGUUUGACUAUGACCGGGCCCUGCAGCUGCUGCUUAACUACCAUGCAGGCCGUAAGGCUUGGCCGGAAGUGUUCCAGGACCUGAAGCCGUCCACAGUGAAACACGUCCUGGACCUGGGCUUUCUCACUGUCCUACCACAGCCGGACCCCAACGGGAGAUACAUCCUCUGUCUCCGACCAGGGAAAUGGAAACCAAAUGAUUAUCCGUUUGUUGACAACGUGAGGGCCCUUUAUCUGACUCUGGAGAAGCUUAUCCAGCCAGAGGAGACGCAGGUGAACGGUAUUGUCAUCUUAGCCGACUACACCGGUGUGGGCAUGUCACAAGCAUCCAAUCCAGGCCCAUUCCUCGCCAAAAAAGUUGUGAGCAUCCUCCAGGAUGGCUUUCCAAUCCGAAUCAAGGCCGUUAACAUAAUAAACGAGCCCAGGAUUUUCAAAGGCAUCUUUGCUAUAAUUAAGCCUUUUCUGAAGGAGAAGAUGGCGGAGAGGUACAUCCUCCACGGCUCUGACCUGCGCUCUCUGCACGGGAACAUCCCCCGGACGGUACUGCCGGAGGAGUACGGCGGCACCGCGGGCCAGCUGGACUUGCAUUCGUGGUCCAGAGUGCUCCUGGACUGCGAGGAGGAAUUUAUAGUGGAGUUUUGCCAGCCAGAUCCACUAGAGGGCGUGGUGCUCCCAGACUCCAUGCUGUAUGAAGGACAGCAGGCCAGCGGGCAGGACGACGACACCUUCAGGGCGCUACGCUCUCAACUCUACUACUGUUACUGAUGCAGACUGUAGACGCUCCCAUCACUGAGAGGACAUUUUCUGUUUCAUUUGAAACAAUCUUAUCACCGGGACCAUCGCUGAUCACAGGAGCUACAUAAGGAAAAGAACAUUUACUGUGCCCCCGACUUUAUAAACAUCUGGUUUGCCAAAUUUCCCACCAUGCCAUGUACACAAAUGUGCAAUGAUGUUGGAUCUGUUUCCUUGCGGUAGCCCGAAGCUAACUCUUUUAUAUUUUUAUUUUAAGCAUGUGACUAUAAGCUAUUGUGUUGCAGGAUAUUUAUUGUUGGUAGCAAAGACAGUAAAGUAAAGCUCAAACGAAGAAAGUGC